AGAGUAAAAAUGCGUUCGCUAUACCGAUCUGGUAUUACAGUAUUGACUGAACGGGGAGUUGUCGGUCAAACGAAAAGCAAUGGCUUGUGGUUCGCAUUUUGCAUCCCGCU
rnacentral:ncRNA from 1 species